rnacentral:rRNA from 1 species
CCUACGGGAGGCAGCAGUGGGGAAUAUUGCACAAUGGGGGAAACCCUGAUGCAGCGACGCCGCGUGAGUGAAGAAGUAUUUCGGUAUGUAAAGCUCUAUCAGCAAGGAAGAAAAUGAUGGUACCUGAUUAAGAAGCCCCGGCUAACUACGUGCCAGCAGCCGCGGGAAUACGUAGGGGGCAAGCGUUAUCCGGAUUUACUGGGUGUAAAGGGAGCGUAGACGGCAGCACAAGUCUGGAGUGAAAUGCCGGGGCUUAACCCCGGAACUGCUUUGGAAACUGUGCAGCUAGAGUGCAGGAGAGGUAAGUGGAAUUCCUAGUGUAGCGGUGAAAUGCGUAGAUAUUAGGAGGAACACCAGUGGCGAAGGCGGCUUACUGGACUGUAACUGACGUUGAGGCUCGAAAGCGUGGGGAGCAAACAGGAUUAGAUACCCGUGUAGUC